AGAGAUGCACUGGGUGUAAAGCGUGCGCAGGCGGUUUUGUAAGACAGAGGUGAAACUCCCCGGGCUCAACCGUGGGAACUGCCUUUGUGACUGCAAGGCUGGAGUGCGGCAGAGGGGGAUGGAAUUCCGCGUGUAGCAGUGAAAUGCGUAGAUAUGCGGAGGAACACCGAUGGCGAAGGCAAUCCCCUGGGCCUGCACUGACGCUCAUGCACGAAAGCGUGGGGAGCAAACA
rnacentral:rRNA from 1 species